rnacentral:rRNA from 1 species
UCCGUAGGCGGGCGUCUAAGUCAGGGGUGAAAUCUUACAGCUCAACUGUAAAAUUGCCAUUGAUACUGGAUGUCUUGAAUUAGUGUGAAGUGGUUAGAAUGUGUAGUGUAGCGGUGAAAUGCAUAGAUAUUACACAGAAUACCAAUUGCGAAGGCAGAUCACUAACACUAUAUUGACGCUGAGGGACGAAAGCGUGGGGAGCGAACAGGAUUAGAUACCCUGGUAGUCC